GCCGCCAUCCAGCGAGCCGCGGCGGCGGUACCGAGCGGUACGAUUAGCCUGAGAGCUUGGUGUUAAUAAAUCGAAAUCUGACAGGGAACAGGCUGCAGAUCAACAAGGGGCUUUGGCAUCCCAACAUGAGAGCAGGCAACAAGUAGUACAGACUGCUCUCCCCCUCUUCUCUCCCCCCUCCACCUUCAGCCAGUCCUGACAAAAUGCCAGUUAGAAAGGUCAGCCUGUUUAUGUAAAGAGGAGUUUAUUUUUGGAAUUUACCAGCAUUUCACAUGUAGGGAAUAAAUUGGAACUUUUAUAAUUUAUUUCUGGAGGGGAAAAUGAAUCAGAGAAAUACAGAGAAGUGACUGUGUACUUACUUAGAAUCAUGGAAUAUCCUGAGCUAGAAGGGAUCUGCAAGGAUCACUGAGUUCAACUGCUGUCUUCACACGUUAUAAGUAUCAUUCAGACACCAGUCUUCUGAGAUGUGACCAGCGAUGAAGACCAGUGAUAUUUCUCCACUCUUUCAGAAGAUAUGAACUGCAAGGCCUUUCCUGUCUUGCAAGAGUUUGGGUGUUGCAGAGCACCAUCGGAGACAGAGUGAGUGACUGACCAGGUCCUAACUGCCUGCUAGGGCCACCUCCAAAGCCACUUCUGGGACUGGAGAAGUAAGACGCGAUGCCUCGGCAGCUGUUGGACUUUUGAAACAGAGAAAGGUCCUCCCAGUUUUCCUGUUUCACUGAUCUCAGUUUCUGUUAAAUAUGUGUUACCUCUGAUC